rnacentral:rRNA from 1 species
CGGCAGGCUUAACACAUGCAAGUCGAACGGAUCCUUCGGGAUCAGUGGCGGACGGGUGAGUAACGCGUGGGAACCUACCCUGGGGUGGGGAAUAACCUUGGGAAACCGAGGCUAAUACCGCAUACGCCCUAUUGGGGAAAGACUAUGUUGCCCUGGGAUGGGCCCGCGUCCGAUUAGCUAGUUGGUGGGGUAAUGGCCUACCAAGGCUGCGAUCGGUAGCUGGUCUGAGAGGAUGAUCAGCCACACUGGGACUGAGACACGGCCCAGACUCCUACGGGAGGCAGCAGUGGGGAAUAUUGGACAAUGGGCGAAAGCCUGAUCCAGCCAUGCCGCGUGAGUGAUGAAGGCCCUAGGGUUGUAAAGCUCUUUCACCGGUGAAGAUAAUGACGGUAACCGGAGAAGAAGCCCCGGCUAACUUCGUG